rnacentral:rRNA from 1 species
GAUGAACGCUGGCGGCGUGCCUAAUACAUGCAAGUCGAGCGAACGGACGAGAAGCUUGCUUCUCUGAUGUUAGCGGCGGACGGGUGAGUAACACGUGGAUAACCUACCUAUAAGACUGGGAUAACUUCGGGAAACCGGAGCUAAUACCGGAUAAUAUUUUGAACCGCAUGGUUCAAAAGUGAAAGACGGUCUUGCUGUCACUUAUAGAUGGAUCCGCGCUGCAUUAGCUAGUUGGUAAGGUAACGGCUUACCAAGGCAACGAUGCAUAGCCGACCUGAGAGGGUGAUCGGCCACACUGGAACUGAGACACGGUCCAGACUCCUACGGGAGGCAGCAGUAGGGAAUCUUCCGCAAUGGGCGAAAGCCUGACGGAGCAACGCAGCGUGAGUGAUGAAGGUCUUCGGAUCGUAAAACUCUGUUAUUAGGGAAGAACAUAUGUGUAAGUAACUGUACACAUCUUGACGGUACCUAAUCAGAAAGCCACGGCUAACUACGUG